rnacentral:rRNA from 1 species
ACACGACUACAUUAGAUACCCGCGUAGUCCUAGCCGUAAACGAUACUCGCUAGGUGUCGGCCACGGUGCGACCGUUGUCGGUGCCGUAGGGAAGCCGUGAAGCGAGCCACCUGGGAAGUACGGCCGCAAGGCUGAAACCUAAAGGAAUUGGCGGGGGAGCACCACAACGGGUGGAGCUUGCGGUUUAAUUGGAUUCAACGCCGGAAAUCUUACCGGGACCGACAGCAACAUGAAGGCCAGGCUGAAGACUUUGCCGGAUUAGCUG